ACAAACGAAUUUUUGUAUUACCUACGAUAAAUGGAUUUAUUUUUGGAUAUACGAGAUGAAGAAAACUGUGGAGCUACUUGGCCAACCCAUGCCAGCGGCAACCCGGACGGCGUUGAUUCGUGGGAAGUGCAGCUCUAUACUACUUUCCGGGAGGUAGUCCCUCACAUGGAGUGCUUCGAAAGCUCUCUAAGAAUUCCACUACUUUCAUAGUCAUGUUCAUAAGUUUAGUCAAACAAGUUCCUGCUAUUGACAUUGGUUCAAACGACCGAGGACAUUCUGGCGAUUAAGAGAAGCUGUGGCACGCCCAGAUAGAACAAGAACAAUAACGGAGGAAAGUCCACAAAUAGCGGUUCUUGAUAAUGAAUCCAUCGUGAAUGUUCCCCUGAUCACAGGAAGCCAUAUCACUACCAAAUCGGUCCACAAAUAGCGGAAACAUCAGCUUAUGUACAUAUGUAUACUCGGAUGUCAGAAUCCUUAUCCAAGGAUCAAGAAUAUCAACAACGACGCCGAAUCAAGCGCUGGGCUUCAGCUUCGAAACACGUAUAGGACUUAUGUACCUUACGCUUGGCAUAAAGAGAGAGUAGUAUCCGAUUGCGCCUAGACGGAGUCCUAUCCCAGCCAGACCGAUUCGUAUCCCAGCCAGACCGAAUCGUAUCCCAGCUGGACAGAAGCGCACCCCCUUCAAGAGCCCGAAACUAAUAACACGCCAUCAACCUUCGACCUGGCCAUCGACAACUAUCUCAAGGACUUCGGCUAUGGCAACCAAGGCAGGGGCUACGCGGACUACUAGACUAUAGAUAGACCUUGUUGUUGUUAGGUUUAAGUAUAUAUACGUCUAUGCGUUUAGAUAAUAGAUGUAA